rnacentral:lncRNA from 1 species
AGAGUCAGAUGACCCCAGAAGAAUUCUGUUUAUAGGAAAUCAUUUUGAGAAAAGAAGUGUAACUCUUACAUUACAGCAGUAUGAUUGAUCUGAUAACUUACUGUAUUGGUCAUACUUUUCUAAAAAAAAGUUAUCACUAUGCAAUUUCUUUAAUAAAACAGAGGUUUUGAGUUGAAAGAGGAAGUAACCAAACCCUAUGACACAGCCUGUACAAUCCUGCAUGAAUCAGUGGAGAAGAACAUCAUAUCUGGGCAAUUUGGGGACUUGAGUACUAAUGCGUAUGUGUGUGUGUGUGUGUGUGUGUGUGUGUUUAUGUGUGGCCUCUAAAGCAUCCUGUCCAAAUCUACAUUUUUAUUUAAACUGGGAUUUGUGAUUUUUAUAGCAGGAACAUGUUGUGAAAGUAAAUCAGCAUGGCUUCAUGCUGAUACAAGAUAACAAACAAAAUGGGAAUGGAGAGGCAAGUGGAAAUCUACAUUAAUUAUUUUUAGUGAAAUACUUCUGUAGGGAGUUCCCAUUGUAGAUCAGCUGGCUAUGAAUGCAGCUAGUAUUCAUGAGGAUGGGGGUUGGAUCCCUGGUCUUGCUCAGUGGAUUAAAGAUCUGGUGUCGCUCUGAGUUGUGGUGUAGGUCACAGACACGGCUCAGAUCCUACACUGCUGUGGCUGUAGCAUAGGCUGGCAGCUGCCGCUCUAAUUCGACCCCUAGCAAGCUACCCACAUUCGAUACAUGUUUUCUGUAUUUCUAGUUAUCAUGUUACACUUCAUACUAUCCAGCAUCAGUUCAACAAAUACUGAUUGAGCCUUUACCAUGUGGAGGUAAUAUGGGGAUAGGGGUGGAUAUGGUCUCCACCUUUAUACAGAUUAUGAUAUAGUUGACAUUACAUUAUUAAAAAUGUAAAUAUUUUCUCUGGAAACAUCCAUAAUAUGCUGAAUUCCUUUUUUAAAAAAAUAAUUUUGUGGAAGAAAAGCCAGAACAGUAUGCUUCUAAUUUUGUAUCAAACCUCAGCCACCAAGAGAUAAAUUGUGGUGAAAGGAUUAUGAAGAUAACAAAUAGAUUAUGAGACUAGUUGUAUCUGGGUCAAUUAGUGGUUGCUGUUAAUUAGUGGUUGCUUAUAUUCAGUUGCUCUCAUUUGGGGAAUGUGGAGAGUGAGAUAUUCAAUGUCUAGUGGGUUUGGUGUGUUUCUUUUCAUCUGGUAGUUGUUACAGCCAUGUAUGGGGCUACGAACUAAAAUGGCACAUAAACCCAUGAUGUGAAGACUUUGGGGCCCUAAAAUAGUUUCUGUAAGAACACUCUGCCCCAUGUAUCAAAUAUUGUACCAAAAAAAAUCUUUUCAGCUUGUGCAUUUAAAAUCAGAAGAUAUCUGUCAUCCUAGGGUCCAUACCUCCUGUGUGUGAGACAUUUUAGAUAAAACGGAUUUUUGUGAGGGAUGCCAAGGGAAUGGUGGACAAACAUGAAUUUAAGAGAUCAUAGUUUUUGUUAAGCUAAGGAAGCAACAGAAGAAAUUUCCUGGGUUUUGUUCAUGUGUUUGUUUACAGAUAAAAAGAAACAUGGUGGAAGUUUCUACUGUGGCUCAGUGGUAAUGAUUCCAGGAGAAUGCAGGUUCAAUCCCUGGCCUCACUCGGUGGGUUAAGGAUCGGGCAUUGCCAUGAGCUGUGGUAUAGGCCAGCAGCUGCAGCUCCUAUUCCACCCCUAGCCCAGGAACUUCCAUAUGCUGCAGGUGUGGCCCUAAAAAGCAGAAGAAAAAAAAAAAA